rnacentral:lncRNA from 1 species
CCGUUUCUCCUCUCAUUCUCUCUAUCUUUUUCUUCCUCAGACAUGGAACAAUGCUGUCAGAAUACUCCACCGAGCGGCACAGUAACGUUGCUGCUCCUCAGACUCGCACAACGACAACUACGCUGUCGUAGAGCCUUACACACAGCUCCGUGCUCUACAAUCGUGACGUGACUACGUACUGCAACAACGACUCUAAUUUUGGACCUGGUUGUGUAGUGAUUUUGUUUGUGGUGUUUGCAGUUGGUAGUGGUGCUGUUAUGAUUUUAUAUCUAGUUUUGGGCUACGGUUAAGAAUAUAGGUUAGGUAGAUGAGGAAAUGGAGGAGGCGGAGGUGGCACUGGGUCCGAUAUUGUUUCUGGCAAUGGCAGUGGCUCUGGAUACGGGAGUGGUGGUGGAAGGGGCAAUGGAGGAGGAGGUGAGAAUGGUUUUGGCAAUGGCUCAGGCUACGAUAGUGGUUUUGGG